rnacentral:rRNA from 1 species
GACGAACGCUGGCGGCGUGCCUAAUACAUGCAAGUCGAACGAACUCUGGUAUUGAUUGGUGCUUGCAUCAUGAUUUACAUUUGAGUGAGUGGCGAACUGGUGAGUAACACGUGGGAAACCUGCCCAGAAGCGGGGGAUAACACCUGGAACAGAUGCUAAUACCGCAUAACAACUUGGACCGCAUGGUCCGAGUUUGAAAGAUGGCUUCGGCUAUCACUUUUGGAUGGUCCCGCGGCGUAUUAGCUAGAUGGUGGGGUAACGGCUCACCAUGGCAAUGAUACGUAGCCGACCUGAGAGGGUAAUCGGCCACAUUGGGACUGAGACACGGCCCAAACUCCUACGGGAGGCAGCAGUAGGGAAUCUUCCACAAUGGACGAAAGUCUGAUGGAGCAACGCCGCGUGAGUGAAGAAGGGUUUCGGCUCGUAAAACUCUGUUGUUAAAGAAGAACAUAUCUGAGAGUAACUGUUCAGGUAUUGACGGUAUUUAACCAGAAAGCCACGGCUAACUACGUGCCAGCAGCCGCGGUAAUACGUAGGUGGCAAGCGUUGUCCGGAUUUAUUGGGCGUAAAGCGAGCGCAGGCGGUUUUUUAAGUCUGAUGUGAAAGCCUUCGGCUCAACCGAAGAAGUGCAUCGGAAACUGGGAAACUUGAGUGCAGAAGAGGACAGUGGAACUCCAUGUGUAGCGGUGAAAUGCGUAGAUAUAUGGAAGAACACCAGUGGCGAAGGCGGCUGUCUGGUCUGUAACUGACGCUGAGGCUCGAAAGUAUGGGUAGCAAACAGGAUUAGAUACCCUGGUAGUCCAUACCUAAACGAUGAAUGCUAAGUGUUGGAGGGUUUCCGCCCUUCAGUGCUGCAGCUAACGCAUUAAGCAUUCCGCCUGGGGAGUACGGCCGCAAGGCUGAAACUCAAAGGAAUUGACGGGGGCCCGCACAAGCGGUGGAGCAUGUGGUUUAAUUCGAAGCUACGCGAAGAACCUUACCAGGUCUUGACAUACUAUGCAAAUCUAAGAGAUUAGACGUUCCCUUCGGGGACAUGGAUACAGGUGGUGCAUGGUUGUCGUCAGCUCGUGUCGUGAGAUGUUGGGUUAAGUCCCGCAACGAGCGCAACCCUUAUUAUCAGUUGCCAGCAUUAAGUUGGGCACUCUGGUGAGACUGCCGGUGACAAACCGGAGGAAGGUGGGGAUGACGUCAAAUCAUCAUGCCCCUUAUGACCUGGGCUACACACGUGCUACAAUGGAUGGUACAACGAGUUGCGAACUCGCGAGAGUAAGCUAAUCUCUUAAAGCCAUUCUCAGUUCGGAUUGUAGGCUGCAACUCGCCUACAUGAAGUCGGAAUCGCUAGUAAUCGCGGAUCAGCAUGCCGCGGUGAAUACGUUCCCGGGCCUUGUACACACCGCCCGUCACACCAUGAGAGUUUGUAACACCCAAAGUCGGUGGGGUAACCUUUUAGGAACCAGCCGCCUAAGGUGGGACAGAUGAUUAGGGUGAAGUCGUAACAAGGUAGCCGUAG